rnacentral:rRNA from 1 species
AUUGAACGCUGGCGGCAUGCCUUACACAUGCAAGUCGAACGGCAGCACGGGAGCAAUCCUGGUGGCGAGUGGCGAACGGGUGAGUAAUGUAUCGGAACGUACCUUUCAGUGGGGGAUAACGUAGCGAAAGUUACGCUAAUACCGCAUAUUCUGUGAGCAGGAAAGCAGGGGAUCGCAAGACCUUGCGCUGAUUGAGCGGCCGAUAUCAGAUUAGCUAACUUGGUGAGGUAAAGGCUCACCAAGGCGACGAUCUGUAGCGGGUCUGAGAGGAUGAUCCGCCACACUGGAACUGAGACACGGUCCAGACUCCUACGGGAGGCAGCAGUGGGGAAUUUUGGACAAUGGGCGCAAGCCUGAUCCAGCCAUGCCGCGUGAGUGAAGAAGGCCUCGG